AUGGAAUGGAGCGGGGUCUUUAUCUUUCUCCUGUCAGUAACUGCAGGUGUCCACUCCCAGGUCCAGCUGCAGCAGUCUGGAGCUGAGCUGGUAAGGCCUGGGACUUCAGUGAAGAUGUCCUGCAAGGCUUCUGGAUACACCUUCACUAACUACUGGAUAGGUUGGGCAAAGCAGAGGCCUGGACAUGGCCUUGAGUGGAUUGGAGAUAUUUACCCUGGAGGUGGUUAUACUAACUACAAUGAGAAGUUCAAGGGCAAGGCCACACUGACUGCAGACAAAUCCUCCAGCACAGCCUACAUGCAGUUCAGCAGCCUGACAUCUGAGGACUCUGCCAUCUAUUACUGUGCAAGA